rnacentral:rRNA from 1 species
CAAUAGCGUAUAUUAAAGUUGUUGCAGUUAAAAAGCUCGUAGUUGGAUUUGUGGCGUACGGUGGGUUCCGGGCACUUGUUGUCUGAGUAACUUGCUGUUGCCAUCCUUGGGUGGAACCUGUGUGGCAUUAGGUUGUCGUGCAGGGGAUGCCCAUCAUUUACUGUGAAAAAAUUAGAGUGUUCAAAGCAGGCUUAUGCCGUUGAAUAUAUUAGCAUGGAAUAAUGAGAUAGGACUUUUUUGCUAUUUUGUUGGUUUGCGCAAAGAGGUAAUGAUUAAUAGGGACAGUUGGGGGUAUUCGCAUUCCAUUGUCAGAGGUGAAAUUCUUGGAUUUUUGGAAGACGAACUACUGCGAAAGCAUUUACCAAGGAUGUUUUCAUUAA